UACAGAGGGUGCGAGCGUUAAUCGGAGUUACUGGGCGUAAAGGGCGCGUAGGCGGUAAGAAGAGUGUGAUGUGAAAGCCCUGGGCUUAACCUGGGAAGUGCAUCGCAAACGUUCUAACUGGAGUAGAUGAGAGGGUGGCGGAAUUUCCGGUGUAGCGGUGAAAUGCGUAGAGAUCGGAAGGAACGUCGAUGGCGAAGGCAGCCACCUGGCAUCAGACUGACGCUGAGGCGCGAAAGCGUGGGGAGCGAACAGG
rnacentral:rRNA from 1 species